AGUCACUGACAUUAGAUACCCGCGUAGUCCAGGGUGUAAACGCUGCAGACUUGGUGUUGGAAGCCCUUUGGGGGCAUUCAGUGCCGGAGAGAAGUUGUUAAGUCUGCUACUUGGGAGUACGGUCGCAAGGCUGAAACUUAAAGGAAUUGGCGGGGGAGCACCGCAACGGGAGGAGCGUGCGGUUUAAUUGGAUUCAACACCGUAAACUCACCAGGGAAGACUGUUACAUGAAGGCCGAGAUGAAGACUCUGCUAGAUUUUCAG
rnacentral:rRNA from 1 species